UCCGUAGUGGUGUAGUGGUAACAUACUUCCUUGCCAAGGAAGCGUUGCGAGUUCGAUUCUCGUCUACGGGA
rnacentral:tRNA from 1 species